GACGAACGCUGGCGGCGUGCUUAACACAUGCAAGUCGAACGAAGGGGCGAAAGGGUGAGUAACGCGUAAUCAACCUGCCCUUCAGAGGGGGACAACGGUUGGAAACGACUGCUAAUACCGCAUAAUGAAGGAGGGGAUGGCGUCUGAUUAGCUAGUUGGGGGGGUAACGCCCCACCAAGGCGAUGAUCAGUAGCCGGUCUUAGAGGAUGAACGGCCACAUUGGGACUGAGACACGGCCCAGACUCCUACGGGAGGCAGCAGUGGGGAAUCUUCCGCAAUGGACGAAAGUCUGACGGAGCAACGCCGCGUGAGUGAUGACGGCCUUCGGGUUGUAAAGCUCUGUUAAUCGGGACGCGGUACCGGAAUAGAAAGCCACGGCUAACUACGUGCCAGCAGCCGCGGUAAUAC
rnacentral:rRNA from 1 species